UCCGCAGAUCUGAUCCGUCGUGUGAAGUAAUUGGGUAACUAAUGGGUUUUGGUGGUUGUUAACUGGGGUUUGGUGGUUGUAUUAUAUCUGACUGAAUCCUUGUUGGGAAUUGUUAUAUUGCUAAUGGUGACCGGAGGGCAGAGUCGAGACACCGCUGGAGAGUAGAUGAAGCAAUUAUCGGGUCUGCGUGGGACGCUAAUAGCGCUGUGUCGUCAACAAAUGUUGCCAUAGUUACCUCUGUUGAUAUUGGUAAAUCGGCAGUGUAGAUGGAGAACAGCAGGAGUCCGAGAACGCUGCCUUGGG
rnacentral:misc_RNA from 1 species